rnacentral:tRNA from 1 species
GACUCCGUAGCUCAGCUGGUAGAGCAAAUGACUCUUAAUCAUUGGGUCGAGGGUUCGAGCCCCUCCGGGGUCACAA